ACCACCACCACCGCAUUCUUCACCGCCGCCGCAUUCACCUCCACCACCACAUUCACCUCCCCCACCGAUUUAUCCAUAUCUGUCUCCACCGCCCCCACCAACACCAGUUUCUUCUCCACCACCCACUCCGGUCUAUUCCCCUCCUCCCCCACCUCCUUGUAUAGAACCACCACCACCUCCACCGUGUAUAGAGUAUUCACCUCCUCCUCCUCCACCAGUCGUUCAUUAUAGCUCUCCGCCUCCACCGCCAGUCUACUACAGCUCUCCGCCACCUCCACCAGUCUAUUACAGCUCUCCACCUCCGCCACCGCCGGUUCAUUACAGCUCUCCGCCACCACCAGAAGUCCAUUACCAUUCUCCGCCUCCAUCUCCAGUACACUACAGCUCUCCACCACCGCCACCAUCAGCUCCAUGUGAAGAAUCUCCUCCACCAGCACCGGUAGUUCACCACAGUCCACCACCGCCCAUGGUUCACCACAGCCCACCACCUCCAGUGAUCCACCAAAGCCCACCAC
rnacentral:lncRNA from 1 species